rnacentral:lncRNA from 1 species
CUCAGAGUUCUGGAGGUUGGGAAGUCCAAGAUCAAGGCACCAACAGGUUUAUCUGGUAUGGACUGCUGUCUAAACCCAAGAUGAUUUCUUGUUGCUGCAUACUUUGGAGAGGAACAUUGUGUCCUCAUGUGGUAGAAGGUGAAAGGGCAAUUGACCAAAUGCUGCAUAAAACAUGUUUUACAAGUCCCUUAAUUCCAUUUAUGGGGGAGUAGCCCUCACAGACUAAUCACCUCUUAAAGGCCCUACCUCUCUUUUUCUUUUUUUGUUCCAGGGAUUGAAUGCAGGAGUGCUUAACCACUGAGCUAAGUCCCCAGCCCUUUUUAUUUUGACACAGGGUCUUGCUAGAUUGCUUAAGGCCUUCCUAAAUUAUGGAGGCUGGCCUUGAACUUGGGAGCCUCCUCCUUCAAGCCUCCUGAGUUGCUGGGAUUACAGGCAUAUGCCACUAUGCCUAGCUAAAAGCCCUACCCCUUACUGCCAUUACCUUAGCCAUUAAGUUUCAACACCUCCGUUUUGCAGGGAACAUAACCAUAGCAGAAUGAAAUUAAUCCAGUUAUAAAACAACAAGUCACCUUGAAAAUGUGUACUCCAAGAAAAUGUAUUUCAUCAGAUUGGGAUAAUGGAGGAAACAUUCAUUCAAUUCAACAAAUAUCUAUGGAGUGCCUACAGGAGCCAGGUGUAGAUGAUAAUAGCAAAUACAAGUGAGUUCCCUGCUCUCCUUGAGUUGACAUUCUAUUGUAGGAAAGACAGCCAUACUGUUUUCAAAUAAAUCCAGAAGAUGACACCUGCUCUGAAGAAACAAAACAGGCCAACACAAUGACAAGAAUUCAGGUGAUCUGAACUAUGAUCUCAUCGUUGUCAAGAAGUAUCUCUACAGCCUUCAGCAGGUUACCUCUCUGGCUUUAUUUUCCCCACUCAUACAAGAGGACUUGGAUUUAUAUCUAAACUUGCUUCCUAGUAUGGUAUUCUUGACUUGAUGAUUCAAGAACUGUCCAUUACAUCAAUAAACAUGAAUGUUUACCAUGGAGAAACAGACAUGGAAAUAAUGAUGAAAUGGUGUGAAAAGUCUUGGUAUCUUCAGCUUUUCUCAGUCCAAGAAAUAUGUCAUUAAAGGGUUUAAGAAGAUAAUGGGCAAAACUGCCUCAUUUGCUAGUCCUACUGCUGGUGUUACAUUUAAUUUUAGGCCAAACUAUUUUUCCCACCAAGAUUGUAAUCUGCAC